GGACAGAUGCCAGAGUGGUCGAUCGGGCACGCCUGGAAAGCGUGUGAACGGUAAUACGUUCCGAGGGUUCGAAUCCCUCUCUGUCCG
rnacentral:tRNA from 1 species